UACGUAGGGUGCAAGCGUUGUCCGGAAUUAUUGGGCGUAAAGAGCUCGUAGGCGGUCUGUCGCGUCUGCUGUGAAAACUGGGGGGCUCAACCCCCCAGCCUGCAGUGGGUACGGGGCAGACUAGAGUGCGGUAGGGGAGAUUGGAACUCCUGGUGUAGCGGUGGAAUGCGCAGAUAUCAGGAGGAACACCGGUGGCGAAGGCGGGACUCUGGGCCGAUACUGACGCUGAGGAGCGAAAGCGUGGGGAGCAAACAGG
rnacentral:rRNA from 1 species